UUAUGAAGUUAAGCGGCGGACGGGUGAAGUAACACGUGGGUAAACCUGCCCAUAAGACUGGGAUAACUCCGGGAAACCGGGGCUAAUACCGGAUAACAUUUUGAACCGCAUGGUUCGAAAUUGAAAGGCGGCUUCGGCUGUCACUUAUGGAUGGACCCGCGUCGCAUUAGCUAGUUGGUGAGGUAACGGCUCACCAAGGCAACGAUGCGUAGCCGACCUGAGAGGGUGAUCGGCCACACUGGGACUGAGACACGGCCCAGACUCCUACGGGAGGCAGCAGUAGGGAAUCUUCCGCAAUGGACGAAAGUCUGACGGAGCAACGCCGCGUGAGUGAUGAAGGCUUUCGGGUCGUAAAACUCUGUUGUUAGGGAAGAACAAGUGCUAGUUGAAUAAGCUGGCACCUUGACGGUACCUAACCAGAAAGCCACGGCUAACUACGUGCCAGCAGCCGCGGUA
rnacentral:rRNA from 1 species